AGUUGCUUACACAUACUUGAAUUGUUAUUACAAAUGUUUAUUAUAUAUAGAGUGAUGUUAUCGACAGGUAAGUAAUGAGUUGUUUUUACAAUUGUGUAGUAUAGAUCGCAUUUGGAAGGUUUGUCUUCUGGAAGGAAAAGGUCGUUAUUAGGACCUACACCUAAUUCUAAAAAGAAAAGGUAUUUAUGCACAUACCAGACAUCGUGGUUUAAAGGCUUUUAAUGGAUAAAGCCUAGUGAUCGGGGUCCAAAUGAUGCAUACUGCAAUCUAUGCAAUUCGCAUAUUUCGGUUGGAUCUGGUGCCAAAAAUGAUGUUGGUAGACAUGCAAUAAACACAGAAUCAUAUGCAAAUGGAAAGUGCACAGAGUCAGUCAAUAUCUAUGUCGUCGUUCUUGCCAUCAUCACAGAGUGCACAGACUUCAGAUGUUUCUCUUGAUAUUUUAGGCUGAUGUUGCAAGAAUUGGCAUCCUCAGUGAUCAAAUACGAAGGCUACUGAGGAAGUUCCAACGGAAAUUUGUCAAAGCAUCUGUCAUAUCUUCUCACUCUGAUGUUACCACUGUUCCAUUUGAUGAUCCUCAGAACCAGUUGAGGGAUGAACUGAUCAGUAUUGGAAUGAAGAACAGAGCCUAUAGGGUGGAUUCACAGGAUGACAUUUGUAUGCAGACAGAAAAGGAAUUUCUUAGUGUUAAAUUUGGUGAAGAGAUUUCCUGGAAUUGUGAAGGAGGAACAGCUGGAUCUGCUGGAAGAGCAGUUUUCCGACUAUCAACUAGCUAGCCCCUGUUGGUGACAAUCCAGAUUGUGAAAAUGACGACAGAAUUGAACAGUUUUGGGGACAAAUGGAUAGAGUCAAAGACAUCUUGACACAAAAACCAAGAUUCCAUGUGUUGUCCAGACUGGUAAAAACACUGUUGGUACUGCCAAACAGUAACGCAGACUCAGAAAGAGCUUUUUCCAUAGUUAAACAAAUACACACUAAAUUCAGAGCUGA
rnacentral:lncRNA from 1 species